rnacentral:rRNA from 1 species
GACUCUCGGCAACGGAUAUCUCGGCUCUCGCAUCGAUGAAUCGAUACUUGGUGUGAAUUGCAGAAUCCCGUGAACCAUCGAGUCUUUGAACGCAAGUUGCGCCCGAGGCCUCCUGGUCGAGGCACGUCUGCCUGGGUGUCA